rnacentral:lncRNA from 13 species
AGUGUACCAUGUGACAGUUUGUUCUGGGACGCACGCCAACUCCAGUCCGUCUAGAACGUCUGUGGGCAGUGGGAGGAUAUCCAAGACGGAUAGAACCUUGGGAAUCAUGUAGCACAACCGUAUGCGUUUUACAGCCGGAGAAACCACAGCUGGGGGGACAGCUUCCAAAUAGGGGGCGAUCCAUUGUACACAAUUGAAGUCACAAUUAGGGCAUACAACUGACGUCCUGGAGAAAGAACAGCCUCACGACACAGUGAUUUGAACUGGGGUCUUGUAUCUUCUCUGGCCAUGACUGGAGCCGCGUAAGACACCUGCUCCUGCUUUGCCUUCCGCCGUGAUUGUGAGUUUCCUGAGGCCUCCCCGGAAACCGUGCAGAAGGUGCUAUCCUUCCUGUACACCUGCAGGAUCCCUACUCUCUCCAGCCGGGAGAAAAAAGUCCAUAGCACAAGUCACUUGGUCCUGUAGGAGUGAAAGUGUCCCUCACCUCCAGAGGGGGAGGUGGCACGGUGGCUCAUGGCUGUCACCACAGCACUUUGAAAGGCUGAGGCCAGCGGAUCACAAGGUCACGACAUCGAGACCAUCCUGGCUAACACGGUGAAACCCCAUCUCUACUAAAAGUACAAAAGUUAUCCGGGUGUGGUGUGGGCACCUGUGGCCUCAGCUACUCGGGAGGCUGAAGCAGGAGAAUUGCUUGAACCCGGGAGGUGGAGGUUGCAGUGAGUCAAGAUUCCAUCGCUGUACUCCAGCCUGGGCUGCAGAGAAAGUGGAGUGGAGACUGUUUCUUUAAUUGUCACGACUUGAGCAAAGAGGCAGCUGGAUCACCUGAGGUCAGGAGUUUGAGACCAGCCUGACCAACAUGGAGAAACCCCAUCUCUACUGAAAAUAGAAAAUUAGCUGGCCGUAGUGGCCGGUGCCUGUAAUCCCACGUACUCAGGAGGCUGAAGCAGGAGAAUAGCUUGAACUCGGGAGGUGGAGGUUGCAGUGAGCUGAGAUGGCGCCAUUGCACUCAAGCCUGGGCAACAAGAG